UACAGAGGUCUCAAGCGUUGUUCGGAUUCAUUGGGCGUAAAGGGUGCGUAGGCGGCGGGGCAAGUCUGAUGUGAAAUCCCGGGGCUCAACCCCGGAACUGCAUUGGAUACUGCUCUGCUAGAGUACUGGAGAGGAGACUGGAAUUUACGGUGUAGCAGUGAAAUGCGCAGAUAUCAGGAGGAACACCGGUGGCGAAGGCGGGUCUCUGGGCCGAAAUUGACGCUGAGGAGCGAAAGCGUGGGGAGCAAACAGG
rnacentral:rRNA from 1 species